rnacentral:rRNA from 1 species
GACGCUGGCGGCGUGCCUAACACAUGCAGUCGAGCGCGAUUCGUGGAUUGGAGACUUCGGUCAAGAGAAACUAUGAAAGCGGCGGACGGGGAGUAACGCGUGAGCAACCCGCCCGUACAGGGGGAAGCCACCGGAAACGGUGAUUAAUACCCCAUAACCCCAAAGGAUCGCAUGGUCCAAUGGGCAAAGCCUUGGCGGUACAGGAUGGGCUCGCGUUGAUUAGCUAGUUGGUGAGGUAUGGCUCACCAAGGCAUCGAUCAGUAGCCGACCCGAAGGGUGACGGCCACACUGGAACCGAACACGGUCAGAUCCACGGGAGGCAGCAGUGGGGAAUAUGCACAAUGGGCGCAAGCCUGAUGCAGCAACGCCGCGUGAGUGAAAAAAGGCUUUCGGGUCCGUAAAACUUUGUCCUAAGGGAAAAAAAAAUUGACGGUACCUUUAGGAGGAAAGCCCCGGCUAACUACGUGCCAGCAGCCGCGGUAAUACGUAGGGGGCAAGCGUUAUCCGGAAUCACUGGGCGUAAAGGGUGCGUAGCGGCUGAUCAAGCCAGGGGUGAA